rnacentral:rRNA from 1 species
CACCUCUAGCAUUUCCAGUAUUAGAGGCACUGCCUGCCCAGUGACAUCUGUUUAAACGGCCGCGGUAUCCUAACCGUGCAAAGGUAGCAUAAUCACUUGUUCCCUAAAUAGGGACUUGUAUGAAUGGCCACACGAGGGUUUUACUGUCUCUUACUUCCAAUCAGUGAAAUUGACCUUCCCGUGAAGAGGCGGGAAUGACUAAAUAAGACGAGAAGACCCUAUGGAGCUUUAAUUAACUGAUUCACAAAAAACAACACACAAACCUAACCUUCAGGGACAACAAAACUUUUGAUUGAAUCAGCAAUUUCGGUUGGGGUGACCUCGGAGAACAAAACAACCUCCGAGUGAUUUAAAUCCAGACUAACCAGUCAAAAUAUAUAAUCACUUAUUGAUCCAAACCAUUGAUCAACGGAACAAGUUACCCUAGGGAUAACAGCGCAAUCCUAUUCCAGAGUCCAUAUCGACAAUUAGGGUUUACGACCUCGAUGUUGGAUUAAGACAUCCUAAUGGUGCAACCGCUAUUAAGGGUUCGUUUGUUCAACGAUUAAAGUCUU